UACAGAGGGUGCAAGCGUUAAUCGGAAUUACUGGGCGUAAAGCGUGCGUAGACGGUUAUGUAAGUCGGGUGUGAAAGCCCCGGGCUCAACCUGGGAAUGCCAUUCGAGACUGCAUAGCUAGGGUGCGGAAGAGGGAAGCGGAAUUUCCGGUGUAGCGGUGAAAUGCGUAGAUAUCGUAAGGAAGACCAGUGGCGAAGGCGGGUCUCUGGACAGUUCCUGACGCUGAGGCACGAAGGCCAGGGGAGCAAACGGG
rnacentral:rRNA from 1 species